UUUGUAAUGUUUUCUGGAGGUGUCGUCACCUGCUUAUGACCUUACGUGCCUGUCUGCUUUCCGGGUGUCUGGAAGCUCCAUGUGUAGCUCUUCAGGCCAGAGCUAAACAUCUCAGAGGAAGCUCAGAAGCCCAACUGCGGCUGCCUGGAGAGAUCUGAGUUCAGAAGGGAAGCGCUUGCUAACAUGCCGAUCAGCUGCUGGGUGAAUACUGUGAGACUUCCUGGCUGGUUCCUGACUUUUGCAGGAUAAAUCUACACUGAGUUGCAACGGUCUUUCCUCCAGAAAAAAUGAACAUCUGAAUCUAAAGAAACGCCAAAACUCAUGAAGGCAACAUCAACUUUGGGGCCUCGCCGACCGGCAUUGUCAGAAGCAUUGCCUUGUAUACCUCAGCAAGCUGCGUUCCCGGAGAGUCAUCCAGCGGGACAGAGCGCUUCAUCUCGUUGCUGUCUGCGAGGCAUGAGGAAAGCUGAGAAGAAAAUGGCCUAUAGACCUAGAUACACAUAACAGCCCAUUUGCAGAGCAAUCUCCUUCAACCCGGAGGGAUGCCUCGUGGAAUCACACAGCCAAAGUGAGAUGUUGUGAGACUAAAGUGGACAAGGAAAUCAUAGGAGCAGCUUUCCUUUAUGCAAGCACCGUGUCAGUCCACCGGUAUGUGAGCAGAUAUUGGAUGGGUAAAGCCUGUCCCUGGCAUGCUGCCACAGGGAGGUGUUUUCUGGCAUCAACUGCGAGGUACAGGGGGAACCCUAAGGUCUGUUUCCUGAAGCAAUAUGGUAUGUGACAAAGUUAUUGAGGUAUUAACUUCACUAAGAAGUAUUAGUUUCAUUUUGUCGUUCUGGUUAGCAAACCAUGGAGAUACUGCCAUUGCUUCCUUGGCCUUCUGUGCGCCAUUAACAGGAAAUUCAGGUGCUGUGGGCUCUCGUGGCCUCUGCCUGGGAGCUGCUGAGGGAAACCUCUCGGUGCCUCAGGGCCAGAGACCCGUGGGGUCCGUCCCUCCUGCAUCAGAAGUGGUCUGGGCACCUCUUUGUAGUGGAGGAACAAGCUGGCGUUGUAGCGUGGAAGAGCAUUUCUUACACGUAGACCCUGAUGGGGAACCCACAGAGAGACAGAGAGAGGAGUCUUUUAUUAAAGCUACUGUUACUUGAUCUAGUUAGAAAACAGGAAACCCGACAAAAAUAGUGAAAUAUGCCGAUUAAAAAGAAAUCUUUAUUUCAAAUCAUUCACCACUUAAGCAGACUGAAUUGAACACUUAAAAAAUAAAUAAAUAAAUUCAAUCCCAGUGUACUGGGCAAUCUGAUAUUCGGUGCUUCAUACGAAGCAACACCAGCCAGGAAACACUUAAGCAUCUGUCUCCUGUUUGGAGUCUGAAUUAAUGUGAUCACUGAGGAAGGGGCCCUGUACUCAUAAACACCUUUGCGCAGAGUACAACAGGGGUCAGACGGCAACCAGAACUUUAAUGCAGCUAAAAAUGGAGUACGGAAUAAUAGAAAAAGCAGCAGAAUGCUAUUUUAUAAAUCAGCGCUCCUUCAUCUUGAAUAGCGUGUUCUGCCGGCUGCGUCUCAAAGAUGUGAAUGGCAGAAACAGGUCUUCAGAGAAUGGAGAUGAAAUGAUUGGUGUCAUAGAAAAACUUUCAUAGGGAGAGAACAUGAAAUGACAGUACCCAUUUACCAUGGAUGAGAUAAAUCAGACAGAAUAAGCUCCUGUUAGACAAAAUAAUUAAUGGCCUACUUGUGC